GAAGCAGGAGUAAGGGCGAUGUCUUGUGGCUGGGAGGCAGAUCUGGGCUGCAAACAAUCUCUGGCUCUGCCUCUCUCUGUGCCCUUGAGCACCUCACUUAAUCUCCCCGGCCCAGCUCUUCAAAGGAGGUGACGUAUCCUGCAGGGGAGAACUAGGCACCCAGUGGAGAGAGGUGAAAAGAUAGAAAGAGAAGGUGAUAAAGAAAAUAACAAGCAGAAUAUGAAUGAUGGGGAAGAAGCUGUAAGCAGAGAUGGACAUCUUGGGUCCAAUGCCGCUCGUGGUCACAUCUGUGCAGCUCAUCUGACUUCAGGGAGAAGACAAAGAAGGCAGGCCAGACCUUAUAUCUUCUCCAGCUCUCAAGAGCAGGAAAGGACAGUACCCCAGAAGGAGAGGCAGUGCCCAACUUAAGGCUGGAGCCUAUCGUUGCCAACGUGUGCCGUUCUCCACAUGGGAAGGUGACUCCUGAGCAGUAUCCCUUCUGGAGGGCUGGAACUUUGGAAUCGUGUCAGUUACAGAUGACAGCACUGUGGAGGCGAAGAUGGCAUCAGAGGCGGAGUCCCCAGUGAUCGUAUAAGGUUCUGCGAAAGGGUGGACUGACGCCCAUGUCACCACUCUAUAGACCUCUGAGAUAGGGACAUUCUUGAAGAAGGCGACGGAUGAGGAGAUUGACCUUGUGAAGACCUUCAAUAGUAGGGGAAAAGUAGGAAAGGCGUAAAGAAGGUCCGCGUCCCAGGGGAGGAGGAGAGCAUCGUCCAGGGAGUGUUGUCCUAUCCCUGUCUGGAGCAGUAGUGUGGACAUUUCUGGUUCAGGUGGGGAAGUUAUUCCAGUCACAUGACAGAUCAUAUAGCUAAAUCAGUCCAAGCCUAGGGAUAAACAAGAACCAUCCGGAGAGCCAAAGGAAGAAAACAGGCAGACAACUCAAAGAGAAUGCCUACCUGGCCUUAGAAGGAGGGCUAUGGACCCCUGAACCAAGGGUGGGAAGAGGUGCUCUGUGAAGCAGGGCUGGAAACUGGCUGCUGGGGAAGAUGGCUCGAAUCACAACACAGGCCCUGAGCAGGAGAGCUGUGGAAGCAU